rnacentral:rRNA from 1 species
CGGAGGGGCUAGCGUUGUUCGGAAUUACUGGGGCGUAAAAGCGCGCGUAGGCGGCUUUGUAAGUUAGAGGUGAAAGCCCGGAGCUCAACUUCGGAAUUGCCUUUAAGACUGCAUCGCUAGAAUCAUGGAGAGGUUAGUGGAAUUCCGAGUGUAGAGGUGAAAUUCGUAGAUAUUCGGAAGAACACCAGUGGCGAAGGCGACUAACUGGACAUGUAUUGACGCUGAGGUGCGAAAGCGUGGGGAGCAAACAGGAUU